GACGAACGCUGGCGGCGUGCCUAAUACAUGCAAGUCGAGCGGAGUUAUCCCUUCGGGGAUAAUUUAGCGGCGGACGGGUGAGUAACACGUAGGCAACCUGCCUGCAAGACUGGGAUAACUACCGGAAACGGUAGCUAAUACCGGAUACACAAGAGAGUCGCAUGACUUUGUUGGGAAAGACGGAGCAAUCUGUCACUUGUGGAUGGGCCUGCGGCGCAUUAGCUAGUUGGUGAGGUAACGGCUCACCAAGGCGACGAUGCGUAGCCGACCUGAGAGGGUGAACGGCCACACUGGGACUGAGACACGGCCCAGACUCCUACGGGAGGCAGCAGUAGGGAAUCUUCCGCAAUGGACGAAAGUCUGACGGAGCAACGCCGCGUGAGUGAAGAAGGUUUUCGGAUCGUAAAGCUCUGUUGCCAGGGAAGAACGUUCGGUAGAGUAACUGCUACCGGAGUGACGGUACCUGAGAAGAAAGCCCCGGCUAACUACGUGCCAGCCGCCGCCGUAACAC
rnacentral:rRNA from 1 species